GAUGAACGCUCGCGGCAGGCCUAACACAUGCAAGUCGAGGGAGGAGCUUUCGGGCUUCGACCGGCGUACGGGUGCGUAACGCGUAUACAAUCUGCCUUUCACAUAGGGAUAGCCCGAAGAAAUUUGGAUUAAUACCUAAUGGUAUAUAGGAGUGGCAUCACAUUUAUAUUAAAGCUGAGGCGGUGAAAGAUGAGUAUGCGUUCUAUUAGCUAGUUGGAGAGGUAACGGCUCCCCAAGGCGACGAUAGAUAGGGGUUCUGAGAGGGAUAUCCCCCACACUGGUACUGGGAUACGGACCAGACUCCUACGGGAGGCAGCAGUGAGGAAUAGUGGACAAUGGUCGGAAGACUGAUCCAGCCAUGCCGCGUGCAGGAAGACGGCCUUAUGGGUUGUAAACUGCUUUUGCAGGGGAAGAAUAAGGACUACGAGUAGUUUGAUGACGGUACUCUGCGAAUAAGCAUCGGCUAACUCCGUG
rnacentral:rRNA from 1 species